AUUGAACGCUGGCGGCAUGCCUUACACAUGCAAGUCGAACGGCAGCACGGGUGCUUGCACCUGGUGGCGAGUGGCGAACGGGUGAGUAAUACAUCGGAACAUGUCCUGUAGUGGGGGAUAGCCCGGCGAAAGCCGGAUUAAUACCGCAUACGAUCUACGGAUGAAAGCGGGGGACCUUCGGGCCUCGCGCUAUAGGGUUGGCCGAUGGCUGAUUAGCUAGUUGGUGGGGUAAAGGCCUACCAAGGCGACGAUCAGUAGCUGGUCUGAGAGGACGACCAGCCACCCUGGGCUUGAGCAACGGCCCAGACUCCUACGGGAGGCAGCAGUGGGGAAUUUUGGCAAAUGGGCGAAAGCUUGAUCAAGCAAGGCGGCGUGUGUGAAGAAGGCCUCCGGGUGGUAAAGAACUUUUGUCCGGAAAGAAAUCCUUGCCCCUAAUCCGGCCGGGGAUGACGGUACCGGAAGAAUAAGCACCGGCUAACUACGUG
rnacentral:rRNA from 1 species